AACGAACGCUGGCGGCAGGCCUAACACAUGCAAGUCGAACGCUCUAGCAAUAGAGAGUGGCAGACGGGUGAGUAACGCGUGGGAACCUUCCCUGUGGUGCGGAAUAACUCGCCGAAAGGCGUGCUAAUACCGCAUAAGCCCGCAAGGGGAAAGAUUUAUCGCCAUAGGAUGGGCCCGCGUAGGAUUAGCUAGUUGGUGAGGUAAUGGCUCACCAAGGCGACGACCUUAGCUGGUUUGAGAGAAUGACCAGCCACACUGGGACUGAGACACGGCCCAGACUCCUACGGGAGGCAGCAGUGGGGAAUCUUGGACAAUGGGCGCAAGCCUGAUCCAGCCAUGCCGCGUGAGUGACGAAGGCCUUCGGUUGUAAG
rnacentral:rRNA from 1 species